GAGCUUCUUCACUAAACUCUUCCUGCAAACCCACCUUCCUUCCUCUUCCUCUUCCUCGUCCUCUUCUCUCUCAUCUACGUCCAUGGCCCACGGUGGCUACGGCAAGCGCAGGGUCAACCCGGCAGCCCGCCGAUCGAAGGGUUUGGCGGUUGAGAAGAAGCCCAAGUCCGUCUCCCUCAAGAACCAAAUUCGAUCUGCCGAGCGCAUGCUUCGCAAGAAUUUACCUGCUGAAGUGAGGGAGGCUCAAGAAAAGAAGUUGGAAGGACUUAGAAAACAGCAAGAAAUUCAUUCUCGUUUGGCUGUUGAGCGGAAAAUAUUCUUG
rnacentral:misc_RNA from 1 species